UCCCUUAUCCUGUCAAGAAGCAAUGGCGUCAAGCUUACAUCUCUUACGGAGUCUUUACUAUGUGGAUCAACUUGUGGAGAUUAUCAAGGAUUCAAGGUCAGAAUCUAGCAUUCAUAUGAAAUUGCCACAAACUCAGCUUUUGAAGGCUAUCAAGGGCUGAAUCUAUAUUCCGUGGAAUCAUUGAAGAUAUUGUACGUGCUGCAAAGUGGGCAUGUUAUAGAGCAAUACCAAAGGCGGCGCGGCAGCAGCAUAAGUAUUACCAUACCUUUCAUGUAUCUUUGAGUAGAGAAGCAGAAACAAUUAUUUAAGAAUGCUGGAGAGAAGACUAUUGAGUGGUUAGACAAGCUAGGAAAUUCUAAUGGUACUUUUCAAAUAUCCCAAAUCCGUUUGAACAUGCAACGAGUAAUGCAGAAUAUUGCUACGAUUCUUCGUACACAAAGUACAUUCAAGAGGAGAGGAUAUUCUUGGUAUUGGAGUAUUUUGAUGGUGGUGAGUUGGUGACUUUGGAGCUUACAUUCAUAGGCAUGGUAGAGUUACAGAACUGCUGCUAGGCACUUUAUCAAACAGCUGGGUACAAGUUAAAAAAAAAUUAAAAAAUAAAUUAAAAAAAUAAAUAAAUCUUGCUUUAGUUAAUAAUUGUUGUUGUAAAUAUUAGGGUUUGUUAUUUUUAUAUUUGACACAGUAAAUAUUACUCCA